rnacentral:rRNA from 1 species
AAGCGUUUGCGACCAGACCUUUUCCUGGCGGAUCAUCCGGUGUUCUUCACCGGUGCACUUCGCCAGGUCGAGGCCAGCAUCGGUUUCCACGGGGGGAUAAAGGCUCUGGGAACGUAGCUCCCUCGGGAGUGUUAUAGCCCUCUGCAUAAUACCCUCGCGGGGACCGAGGACCGCGCCUCCGGGCAAGGAUGCUGGCGUAAUGGUCGUCAACGA